rnacentral:rRNA from 1 species
CCGGGUGAGUAACACGUGACUAACCUACCCUCGAGUGUGGAAUAACAUCGGGAAACCGAUGCUAAUACCGCAUAACAUCGCAAGAUCAAAGGAGCAAUCCGCUUGAGGAGGGGGUCGCGGCUGAUUAGCUAGUUGGCGGGGUAACGGCCCACCAAGGCGAAGAUCGGUAGCCGGCCUGAGAGGGCGCACGGCCACACUGGAACUGAAACACGGGCCAGACUCCUACGGGAGGCAGCAGUGGGGAAUCUUGCACAAUGGAGGAAACUCUGAUGCAGCGACGCCGCGUGAGUGAUGAAGCCCUUCGGGGUGUAAAGCUCUUUCGGCAGGAACGAUUAUGACGGUACCUGCAGAAGCAGCUGCGGCUAACUACGUGCCAGCAGCCGCGG